GCUGAAACUCAGCUGCUGACUCGUUGGUUCGAGAGCUCACCAUUAAGAUCGAUCGAUGAUGUCGGCACUCAGCCCAUGUACAUAAUUAAGGUGGUCUGCUUCUGAUCCAACGAUGCGGGAGCUGCAUUUAGUCG
rfam:Glycine soja cultivar W05 scaffold4438_13, whole genome shotgun sequence.